UGACCUCGUGAUCCACCCGCCUCGGCCUCCCAAAGUGCUGGGAUUACAGGCUUGAGCCACCGCACCCAGCCCACCCAAGUCUUUAUCUGAGAUCAACAGUGUGCAGGGAAGCCCAAGUCCUAAUAAAAUUAAAGUAAUCUUUCAUUAAGCGACUACUCACUAGUGCCUACUCAUCCAAUCUCCCUUAUACAAAACUAAUGUCCAUCCUCCCCCAUCCCACCCCACGGCACCUCUUUCCACACUGAGUGAUGGCUUCAUUAUAUGGGUCCCCCCUCAACUGACUGCCAUAUAUGUAACGUAUGAGGCAUGUUAUUUGAAAAUUUAAAACAUUUAUAUGCCAUUAGAGGAGUUUGAGAGAUAAGGCAGAUGAGUAACUGACCUCACCGUUCUCUUCCCAUGCUAGAAGGGAGUGUGCAGGGCACUGUGACUGAGGACGCAGUCACUGAAAGCGGGGCUGUGACAGGCCCCUGGGAAGUGAACUUGAUGCAAAGGUAGGCUUCCAGUUCACCCCAGGAAAGCUGUCACAGGGCUCACGAAACAGAAUAGCUCACCAGCCAAAUUAAAAAGCUCAAAUCACACGGUUUAAUGGAUCCGUUUAAACCAAACAGUGAGAAGCAAAGGAACAGAGGCAGGACCGGUCAGCACACCUGCGUGGAAGGUCCUCACCUCCUCAUUUCUGCCCCGUCUGGACUUCCUGGCUGUCUGCUGCACUGGCCUUCCCUGCUAAUGGCAUGGGGAUGCAGACCGGACCCGAGGGAAGCCUGUAAGCGAUGUGCCUAGGGUGGAAUUGCAGCGUUCCUGGGCAUUUUUGUGCCCCACCUUAGAAGAUAAUGCCAAUGGCUUUCCAAAGCAGUGAUGCUAAUUUACACCGCGGUGUUCAAGGAUUCUGGUUGCUCACAUCUCUUGAAGCACCAGGUAUUGUCCGUCUUCUUUCAUCUUAGUCAUUCCGAUCAGUAUGAUAAUAUGAUUGCGGUUCGCGUUCCCGGUAACUGAAGCAGCCGAGCGUGUCUGCAGGUUCAUUGGCCAUUUGGUCGCCUCCCUUUCCGCACUUCCUGUUCAAAUCUCC
rnacentral:lncRNA from 13 species